AGAGGUACGUGUGAUAUAUGAACCGUUUUAUUUAACUUUUUUUUUUUUAUAAUUAUUUUUAUAGUAGCUAUAUAAUAAGUGAAGGUUUUUGGUCGUCCAGAGGUAUUUCCGUAAAUAUCCAUUGUUUAUUGUUGCAUUAUGUUUCAACCUGCAGGAUAAACACGUGUGCUCCAAACUGCAGACACGUACCUCUUCAAACUCUUUCUCGUUCUCCAUCUACCUCUGUGCUAUUCUCUCCUUAACACAGAGGAGUGCUCUGUAGACUAUUGGUGAAAAGAGUUCCGAGGUUUGUUCUUCUCAGAUUUUUGUUUCAGAUGUCAUUGCUUUGAUAUUGUCUUUGCCCUUUAGUCGAAAAGCCAGGCAGAAUGGGAGAGUUUUUGCCAUCAAAAGUUAUAAAAAAAAAGAAACUGCGAGCCACUGAAGAAAAUGAUGAAGAAGAAUUGAAGCCAUGUUUGCCGCUUCUUCUGAAAUGGAAAAGAUAAGAAUUUUUUUUGAAUCUACGGGGAGUUCCCGUUAGUUUGAUGAUAUUGUGCUUACUUUUGUUUACUUUCUCUUUAUUACAAUAUGUUCUUAUAAUUUCUGGUCAAUUUAGAUAUUGUUUCGUUAAUUUGCAUCGAAUUUUUGUUAUUUGUUGAUGGGUUUUUUUUUUCAUAGUUAAUGGGUUUUCAAUGAGAUGCUAAAACUGUUGUUAAUGAGUAUUUGUGGGGAUCUUAAAUUACUAAUUUCUUAGAUGUUUUCUUACAUUGUGCAUGCAUGUUUGAAAUUUUCCUACAUAGGUAUAAACAUGCUCUGCCACAUUGAAUUUCCAUAUCGGAGAAAAAAAACGAGAAGAAAUUAAACUUAUAGAAGAGCUUUGAUGCAGCUAAGAUGUUUGAAAAUAUUACUUAAUUAGCUUAAACCAUGUAAUUCUGGUGAGUUGAAUUUGACUUUUUUAGGUAUGAUUUUCUACUGGAUAUUCGCACUGCUCUUCAUUUUCUUUAAUGUUAGUUAUGGCUCACGAGCUAUUAUCUAAUCCUCUGCUCUGUGUCUGGUCAUGCUAUUUUGUUGUUAAAUCUAUAGCUUAAUGACAAAUAUAAUAGGAAAAAACAGUGAAAACACUAUGAGCAAGCCCUACAUAUAAUUAUAUGCAGUGUUGCUUUGAUCCACUUCUCUUAACCUUCUUGAUAUCCGAUGUCAGGCAGUAAAAAUUUGUACAUAUUUGGCUUUUCUUGCCUGAAUAUGAUGAUCCACUGGUGUGUCUGUUAUAUUCACCAGAUUUUGUUAUUUGGUAUAGUCGAGGUGCAUGUACAAACCCCAAGCAGCAUGAGAUGAAGAAUUUGCCAGAAAGUGAUAAUGUUUUUUCUGAUGUAGAGUGAUCUUCGCGGCCAAGGUCUGUCCUUCCUUUUUUUUGGUGUUAUCUUUAUCACUUUCUCUCAAUCAAGACAAUUAUUGGACAAACAUAUUGAUAUAGACACUUUCGGAGAACAACAAUUGCCCAGUGAAGUCCCAUGUGGUAAGAAAUUGUUGAUUGUGCUACACAAACGAAGAUAUUUUUGCAUUAUGUUCUAACAUAUAGUUGUUCUUUUAAACAUGAGGCAGUUGCAUCUUGUGUAUCCUUAUUUUAGGGGCGGUAAAUUCUUACAAUUAUCAGCCCUACUGUCUUCUUGAUAGGGCUUGCAAUGUCAGUUGCUCUUGUGGCGUCGUUGCAACUUUAUACAAAUUUUGCGCGAUUCUUCUUAGUUAUAACCCAAUCAAGAAGGUAUCUCAAGUUAGAGACCGAGAAAUCUCAAACUCCUCAUUCUUGAAAGCCAUAUGUACAAUUUUCACUCCAGUUCAUCACUCUGCAAGAUGAUAUGCAUCAACCACUUUAUUUACCUAGAAACAGGGGCGCCUUUUCUUCGGCCUGCAAAGUGCCGUUUUUAUGAAUAAGUUGAGACUUGAAAGUUGAAUGUAAAUUACUCUGGACAUCAAGCUACAAAAAUGAACAACAGUGUCAGGCAUAUCCCGUGCUUUACUUUAGAUUGCAUGGACUGCUUUAGAACUUCAUACUACAAAAGUAUUGCUUGAAAACUUAAAUUGGUGAACAAAGUUGAAUCCUGCGGGGUUAUGUCAGAAUGUUGGGCAUAUAUUCUUUGCCUAUUCGAGGUAUUUAUAGAUGCUAUGUAAAACUGCGUAUGGUUAUUUUCUAAUUUGCGUUUGUUUUGUUAGGAAACAAAGUAGGACUUGGAACUGGAGUGGUGUGAAUUGGGGAGAAAAUCAUAAACAAGAUUUAUAUUCCAAGCAGCACAGUUCAACAUAAGAUAACUUGGCCAAGAUUAAUCUAUUUGAGAAAGGAGAGAAACAGAAGAUUCUUUGCAGGUUCACGAAUUUUUCUAUGUAUUAGUUGAAGAACAUAAAAGGCUUAUUUCUCACUUGGAAGAUAUGUUUACACACUCCAGAGCCUUUCUUGGAUGGUUGUGGUAUGAUGUUCUUACAUUACUCUCAUAAUGGUAUUUUGUUCCUGCUCCGUUGAAAAGUAAUCUAAACUGUGCUCUUUUAAGAAAUCAAUCUAUUUUCUUGACAAAAAAGAAGGCAUCAAUCUAUUAAUAAAUUGCUGCCCAUAAACCAAAACUCAGAGAGAGAACUGAUUAAUUUAUCAUGAUAUUGGAGAUGAAUGAGUACAAUAUAUAGAUUUAUAGAGACAAUUCUAAUGUGGUGUCUUGCUAGUUAGAUGUACAAAAACCCUGCAGCGUAUAAAAGUACAGAUAAACAAUAAGGGGAUUAAUGGAUAAAUUACUUCCCAAAAUUUUCCUGAAGUAGUAAAGACAAUAAAGAGCUACCUGAUCAUCUGUAAAUAUACCACCAGUAUAUGUAGUACCAAUAUAACUGGGUAAGAAUCUCUAUAGUUGACCACUCCUUAAGUUAAUUUCUCCCUUUUCAACUACGUGAGAUACUAAUUAAUGCAAAAAACGAGCCUAUUGGUAAGUCAUCUUUUCAAUACCAUUCAACUUGAUCCUUCUGUAAUUGAAGCGCGUUAUGGAUGGAAAAUCAACAUUCAUGAGAAGAAAUUGCUAAUUCUAUCAUUCUCUUCAUUUUAUGGAACAACUUAGUUUUUCUGAGAUGCUAAGACUUUCUGCCUGCAGAAGGCAUCCCAUUUCCUUUUAUCCUUAUUGUACUUCAAUACUAUCUUGCAGAAGAUGAUUGCUUAAGUUAAUUUAAAUUUGCAGGCUUUCCUAACUUUUGCAUGCUUACUACAUAACACCAAUUUUGAUGUUUACCUUUCUUUUUUUUUAGUAGAUACCCAGAUGAAAUGUGUUGGCAGCUGUCAAAAUUCAGAGUUCAUGCAAUUGUAACACUGCUUAUACAUAAGUUGGACCACCUGCAUGGUCAUGAAAACCCGUAAUAUUUUUGUCUUUAUAGCACGUUCAAAAAUGUAAUUGUAUGACUUUGUUCCACAAAUUAAUGUAUUACGUCAAUACUUCAGUUUGACAUUUCCUUU